GACGAACGCUGGCGGCGUGCCUAACACAUGCAAGUCGAGCGGAGAUUGCUAGUCAUAGUAAUCUUAGCGGCGGACGGGUGAGUAACGCGUGGAUAACCUACCUUAUACAGGGGGAUAACACUGGGAAACUAGUGCUAAUACCGCAUAACACAGUGAAGUGGCAUCACUUUUAUUGUCAAAAGGAGAAAUCCGGGUAAAAGAUGGAUCCGCGUCCGAUUAGCUAGUUGGUAGGGUAAAGGCCUACCGAAGGCGACGAUCGGUAGCCGAACUGAGAGGUUGAUCGGCCACAUUGGGACUGAGACACGGCCCAGACUCCUACGGGAGGCAG
rnacentral:rRNA from 1 species